CGCUGGCGGCGCGCCUAACACAUGCAAGUCGAACGAGAGAUGAGGAGCUUGCUCUUCAAAUCGAGUGGCGAACGGGUGAGUAACGCGUGAGGAACCUGCCUCAAAGAGGGGGACAACAGUUGGAAACGACUGCUAAUACCGCAUAAGCCCACGGCUCGGCAUCGAGCAGAGGGAAAAGGAGCAAUCCGCUUUGAGAUGGCCUCGCGUCCGAUUAGCUAGUUGGUGAGGUAACGGCCCACCAAGGCGACGAUCGGUAGCCGGACUGAGAGGUUGAACGGCCACAUUGGGACUGAGACACGGCCCAGACUCCUACGGGAGGCAGCAGUGGGGAAUAUUGCACAAUGGGGGAAACCCUGAUGCAGCGACGCCGCGUGGAGGAAGAAGGUCUUCGGAUUGUAAACUCCUGUUGUUGAGGAAGAUAAUGACGGUACUCAACAAGGAAGUGACGGCUAACUACGUGCCAGCAGCCGCGGUAAAACGUAGGUCACAAGCGUUGUCCGGAAUUACUGGGUGUAAAGGGAGCGCAGGCGGGAGAACAAGUUGGAAGUGAAAUCCAUGGGCUCAACCCAUGAACUGCUUUCAAAACUGUUUUUCUUGAGUAGUGCAGAGGUAGGCGGAAUUCCCGGUGUAGCGGUGGAAUGCGUAGAUAUCGGGAGGAACACCAGUGGCGAAGGCGGCCUACUGGGCACCAACUGACGCUGAGGCUCGAAAGUGUGGGUAGCAAACAGGAUUAGAUACCCUGGUAGUCCACACCGUAAACGAUGAUUACUAGGUGUUGGAGGAUUGACCCCUUCAGUGCCGCAGUUAACACAAUAAGUAAUCCACCUGGGGAGUACGACCGCAAGGUUGAAACUCAAAGGAAUUGACGGGGGCCCGCACAAGCAGUGGAGUAUGUGGUUUAAUUCGACGCAACGCGAAGAACCUUACCAAGUCUUGACAUCCCUUGACGAUGCUGGAAACAGUAUUUCUCUUCGGAGCAAGGAGACAGGUGGUGCAUGGUUGUCGUCAGCUCGUGUCGUGAGAUGUUGGGUUAAGUCCCGCAACGAGCGCAACCCUUAUGGUCAGUUACUACGCAAGAGGACUCUGGCCAGACUGCCGUUGACAAAACGGAGGAAGGUGGGGAUGACGUCAAAUCAUCAUGCCCUUUAUGACUUGGGCUACACACGUACUACAAUGGCGUUAAACAAAGAGAAGCAAGACCGCGAGGUGGAGCAAAACUCAGAAACAACGUCCCAGUUCGGACUGCAGGCUGCAACUCGCCUGCACGAAGUCGGAAUUGCUAGUAAUCGUGGAUCAGCAUGCCACGGUGAAUACGUUCCCGGGCCUUGUACACACCGCCC
rnacentral:rRNA from 1 species